ACUUCGUGACACAUUUCUGCUCCUAAUUUUCCCUAGACCCUAAUUCUCUCUCUCAAUUCAUUUCUGCCUUCGUACAUUUUCCUCCAAAAAGUUCACCAUAAUCAUUUUCCUCCAAGCCCCGCACCAUCUUCUUGUUGGUCUUCCCUUGCGUUGUGUUCGUCGUCGAGACGUUGUGUUCGCUCUCGGAAUUCCUCGCAGCUGCGGUGUGAAGUAUGAGGAGACGAGAGGCGAGGCAAGGCAAGGGUGAGAAUGAUGAAUCUCUUGAGCUUUGUUCCAACACAGACAACGAGGAAGCCUUUUGGAACCAUGUCUGCACUGUUGGAAGCAGAGGAAGAUUUUCUUCACGGAUCUUGUUACACUUCAGAAAUUUUAAGAAAACCCAAUUAAUUUGUUUUGGUUCUAAGGGAUUUUCUCAUUUUGCUUUGUUUUGUUUUGUUUUUUGUUUUUCUUUAUAACACCCUGUUUUGGUUUGAACAUGACCGUAAUGUGUGACAUAGGAGUGUCUCCAUUAACGUCAGGGAGACUGUCUCACAGCAGUGAACCUUUGAGCGGUGGUGCUUCUUUAACUGGAACGGACAGUCCACCAAUCUCUCCUUCUGACAAUUUGACGAUGUUGUCAAGGUAUCUGAUCAAGGGAGUGGGUCAAACAAUGGAUGUAAUGAAGAAAAAAAUUAGAUAUUGUUACUGAAUACUUUUAUGAGUCAUACUUUUAGUAUUGAAUAUCUAUAUUGAACAUAUGUAAUGAACCUCUUUCUUUUUAAUUUUUAUGUAUGAACACUUAGUUGUAUGAAUGAUAUUAGGUUGAACAAUGUAGUUUAUUUUAUA